GCCAGCAGGCAUAUCACCCUGCAGCUCACAACUGGCAACCCACUGAAGCUAAGCUGUGAGCCUGGUCAGUACCUGGAUGGGAGACCUCCUGGGAAAAACUAAGGUUGCUACUGGAA
rnacentral:rRNA from 1 species